CUUAAAUAUUUACUUUCUCUUCUGCCUUUAAUAUUUUCAAGCUCUUCUGUUCAAAGUGUACAUGAGUGCUGGAGCUAUCUGGAUAUUAAUAGUUUCUCCAAGAAAACUGACCACCUGAAACUUAAAUUUGUGAUUUGUCUGGCCUUUAUUGUUUUUAAUAAUCCGAGGUCUGAGGAUGCCAAGUCUGGUUUACAGUAUGUGUUAAGUACAUUGUUUCAGCUUCCAGAGAACUUGCUUUUGGAGUGCGGAUCCAGUGUGGAGGUGAACAGUGACUAAAAAUGCCCUUUGACUUCUUGGCAUGCUUCUUCCAGUGUUUCUUCUUUAGCUUCAUAUAUCACAGAGUAAACAAUGAUGACAUGCACAAACCUGCCUAAGAGUGACAAGAAUGAUCUGUCCAACCCCUUCCAGGCACAAAGAGGUCUCUGAGAUGAGUCUGCUAAUGGUGAAAACAUACAGAGGGUCAAGAUAAAGCAGUGACCUAUCAGCUGAAAAUCUGUUUCAUGACAAAUGAGAUGAGUAGGUAUUUUAAGAGUAAAGGCAGACAUCCACUGGAAUUUUGAUAAAAAGAAGAGCUAAAAUUAUAGGACUUAGAGUUAACUAAAUUUCACACAAUAAAACAACUUGAAUGCCAAUUUCAAGGUGUCUUACGGCUCAUCAGUUGGCAUCUUUGAUUUUUUGAACAUCGACGUAUGUUUGCAUUGAAAUGAUAAAAAACAGACCAAGAAGAGAUAAGAGUGAGAGUAGGAUUUGGAGUUAAAAACAGUGACGCUGCCACUCGGCCAGCUGUGGAACUCUUGACCCUGUCAAGUCCAUACACAGUGGAUUAAAAGGGUUGGAUGACAUCCAUCUGUUGGGGCCUUAGGGGAUGUAGUAAAGCAUUAAAACUACAGGCAGCCAAAGGUGCGUGAAAUCUGCUACAGUAUUUUCUAGGACUCUUCAAUUCUAGUCCUUAGCUAAAAAUUUGUAC
ensembl:lncRNA